AUAGCCUAACGGCUGAACCAGCAACUUGGAGGAAUGUAUAGCAAUAGCUGAUUGCACCAACAAAUAGUUGAUGCAAUAUUGACUCUGUCAAAUAAAAUUCUAGGUAGAAUUAUGAUAAUGACAUUGUCUGCCUAUAUGUCUUGACCAAAUUACGUGCCAGCAGUCGCGGUAAUACGUAGAAGACUAGUGUUAUUCAUCUUUAAUAGGUUUAAAGGGUACCUAGACGGUAAAUCAAGCCUUCACAGGGACUAAUUUACUAGAGUUACUUACGAGGGGGUAUUAAAGUACUGCAGGUGUAGAGAUGAAAUUCUGUCAUACCUCUUUUCAAAAGAAAAAUUAUGGCACAGGUAUAGGUGAAAGCAUCCCCUUAUGUGAUAACUGACGUUGAAGGACGAAGGCUUUGUGUCGCGAACAGGAUUAGAUACCCCAGUAGUCAAAGCAGAAAAUGAUGAAUGUCAUAGAUUAGAUAAAUAGUUUAUUCUAUAAAUGAAAAUGUAAGCAUUCCACCUCAAGAGUAAUUUGGCAACAUUGGAACUGAAAUCAUUAGACCGUUUCUGAAACCAGUAGUGAAGUAUGUUGUUUAAUUUGAUGAUCCGCAAAAAACCUUACCACAAUUUGAAUAUUUAUAUCUAUCUUUUUUUUUCGUAAAAAAAUAAAAAGGUAAUAUAUUUACAAGCGUUGCACGGCUGUCUUCAGUUAAUGUCGCGAGACUUUGGUUAGUUCCAUUAAAUUAACGUAAACCCUUACUUUAUUUUUAUAUGAAGUAGUUCCCCGCUAUAUUGGAUAUGAUAACAGGGACUAAG
rnacentral:rRNA from 1 species